UACGAAGGGGGCUAGCGUUGCUCGGAAUCACUGGGCGUAAAGGGUGCGUAGGCGGGUCUUUAAGUCAGGGGUGAAAUCCUGGAGCUCAACUCUGGAACGGCCUUUGAAACUAGAGGACUUGGGUACGGGAGAGGUGAGUGGAAUUCCGAGUGUAGAGGUGAAAUUCGUAGAUAUUCGGAAGAACACCAGUGGCGAAGGCGGCUCACUGGCCCGUUACCGACGCUCAGGCGCGACAGCGUGGGGAGCAAACAGG
rnacentral:rRNA from 1 species